GUUCAUGUAGCUUAUAUCACAAAGCAAGGCACUGAAAAUGCCUAGAUGAGUUUUAAACUCCAUAAACA
rnacentral:tRNA from 1 species